ACACAUGCAAGUCGAGGGGUAUAGUUCUUCGGAACUAGAGACCGGCGCACGGGUGCGUAACGCGUAUGCAAUCUACCUUUCACAAAGGGAUAGCCCAGAGAAAUUUGGAUUAAUACCUUAUAGUAUAACCCAACCGCAUGGUUGAGUUAUUAAAGAUUUAUCGGUGAAAGAUGAGCAUGCGUCCCAUUAGCUAGUUGGUAAGGUAACGGCUUACCAAGGCAACGAUGGGUAGGGGUCCUGAGAGGGAGAUCCCCCACACUGGUACUGAGACACGGACCAGACUCCUACGGGAGGCAGCAGUGAGGAAUAUUGGACAAUGGGCGCAAGCCUGAUCCAGCCAUGCCGCGUGCAGGAUGACGGUCCUAUGGAUUGUAAACUGCUUUUGUACNNGAAGAAACANUUCUNCGUGNAGAACCUUGACGGUANNGUAAGAAUAAGGAUCGGCUAACUCCGUGCCAGCAGCCGCGGUAAUACGGAGGAUCCAAGCGUUAUCCGGAAUCAUUGGGUUUAAAGGGUCCGUAGGCGGUUUAGUAAGUCAGUGGUGAAAGCCCAUCGCUCAACGGUGGAACGGCCAUUGAUACUGCUAAACUUGAAUUAUUAGGAAGUAACUAGAAUAUGUAGUGUAGCGGUGAAAUGCUUAGAGAUUACAUGGAAUACCAAUUGCGAAGGCAGGUUACUACUAAUGGAUUGACGCUGAUGGACGAAAGCGUGGGUAGCGAACAGGAUUAGAUACCCUGGUAGUCCACGCCGU
rnacentral:rRNA from 2 species